GACGUAGGUGGCGAACGUUAUCCGGAAUUAUUGGGCGUAAAGGGUGCGUAGAUGGCCUGAUAAGUUAGCAGUGGGAAAUCGAGGCUCAACCUCGUGGAAGCUGGUAAUACUGUCAGGCUCGAGUGCAGGAGAGGUUAACGGAACUCCAUGUGGAGCGGUAAAAUGUGUAGAUAUAUGGAAGAACACCAACGGCGAAAGCACUCUGCUGGGCCGACACUGACACUGAGAGACGAAAGCUAGGGGAGCGAAUGGG
rnacentral:rRNA from 1 species